UUCACACUGUCUCACGGUGAAACCGCGAAUGGCUCAUUAAAUCGGUCGAGGUUCCUUAGAUGACACGAUCCUACUUGGAUAACUGUGGCAAUUCUAGAGCUAAUACAUGCUUCAAAGCUCCGACCCUCGCGGAAAGAGCGCUUUUAUUAGCCCAAAACCAAUCGCCAUUGCCUUCACGGGCGUGGCGCACUCACUGGUGACUCUGGAUAACUUUGUGCUGAUCGCAUGACUCUACGUCGGCGACGCGUCUUUCAAAUGUCCGCCCUAUCAAAUGUCGACUGUAGGUGAUAUGCCUACAGUGUUUGUCACGGGUAACGGGGAAUCAGGGUUCGAUUCCGGAGAGGGAGCAUGA
rnacentral:rRNA from 1 species